rnacentral:rRNA from 1 species
UACGUAGGGUGCGAGCGUUAAUCGGAAUUACUGGGCGUAAAGCGUGCGCAGGCGGUGAGCUGUGUCCGAUGUGAAAGCCCCGGGCUUAACCUGGGAAUGGCAUUGGAAACUGGCUCGCUGGAGUGUGGCAGAGGCGAGUGGAAUUCCUGGUGUAGCGGUGGAAUGCGCAGAUAUCAGGAGGAACACCAACGGCGAAGGCAGCUCGCUGGGACGGUACUGACGCUGAGGCGCGAAAGCGUGGGGAGCAAACAGG